rnacentral:lncRNA from 10 species
CGACCUGGGAAAGGAAAGAGCCAGUUGAGGAAAAGCCCUUUGUCCCUUCUUUGUUUAUAUCUCCAACUUCCCGAUUUUUCCUGUGGCUGUGAUGGCCAGGAUGUGGCAGCCCUCUGGUUAUAACAGUGUCACAAAUCCUUCAUUGAGGCUGCCUUGCAACCCAAGCUCUGCCUCUCUCCAAUCCUCUCUUUCCCUCCCUUCAUAGGUGCAGAUGCUGAGAGCACUUUCUAGUCAAGUCCUGCAUGUUCAUUUCUGUCUCAAGUCAGCUUCUCUGAGAAUCCAAUUUAUAAAAAUAUAUUUGUGAAUGUAUAAGUAAAGUGACUUGGAUUUUGUCUACGUACAAGGACUUCUAUGCCUGCAUAAAACAGGUCUCACCAUGUGAUACAUUGGCUCCCAG